AGGACGCACACCUAAAUACUACAAUACCCAUGGGGCCAUGCUCCGCUAUAAUUCCUCUGAGUAUGCCGAUCACGUGAACCGCACACCAUACUCUCUUACGUGCUGCGGGUCAUGUGACGCACUCUAUACCCACUCCUUACUCUGUGCGUGCCGCCUACGAUUAGGGCGGCCGCACUUACUACAUUUCCCAUGUGGCCCCCUUCCGGUCCCAGUACACCUCUGUGGGUGCCGGUCAUGUGACUCGCGCACCACAUCCCCCAUAGUGCUGCGCGAGUCACGUGAUGUGUUAAAAUCUAUGUUGGUAUAUUUCAUUUUCCACUGAUUUCAAUUUUAAAUGAUUGUGUUUGUCAAUAUGUAUAUUGUUAAAACUCUUCUGUUCAAUUUUACUUCCAAAUGUAAAUUUUACUACUGUUAUGGGUAAUACAUUACUCUGAUUGGUUAAUGACUUUUUUGGCGCCAUUUUUAAAUAAUCUAUGUACCUAUAUAUACUCCUACCUGCCAGGUUCUAAUGUUAUUACAUUUUGAUAAAGCCCUAAUGGCGAAAUGCGUGAAUGGUUUUAUAAUAUUGUGUAUUGUAUAAUAAAAGAUUUUUGGCUACAUUUUUGUGCCAU